rnacentral:rRNA from 1 species
AACGUAGGUGGCGAGCGUUAUCCGGAUUCAUUGGGCGUAAAGAGCUUGUAGGCGGCCGUAUAAGUUGGACGUGAAAACUCCGGGCUUAACUUGGAGAGGCCGUUCAAGACUGUGCGGCUAGAGGGUGUCAGAGGGGAGUGGAAUUCCUGGUGUAGCAGUGAAAUGCGUAGAGAUGUGGAGGAACACCGAUGGCGAAGGCAGCCCCCUGGGUCAAGAUUGACGCUCAUGCACGAAAGCGUGGGGAGCAAACAGG